rnacentral:rRNA from 1 species
GCCGCGUGAGUGAUGAAGGCCUUCGGGUCGUAAAACUCUGUCCUCAAGGAAGAUAAUGACGGUACUUGAGGAGGAAGCCCCGGCUAACUACGUGCCAGCAGCCGCGGUAAUACGUAGGGGGCUAGCGUUAUCCGGAGUUACUGGGCGUAAAGGGUGCGUAGGCGGUCUUUCAAGUCAGGAGUGAAAGGCUACGGCUCAACCGUAGUAAGCUCUUGAAACUGGGAGACUUGAGUGCAGGAGAGGAGAGUGGAAUUCCUAGUGUAGCGGUGAAAUGCGUAGAUAUUAGGCGGAACACCAGUUGCGAAUGCGGCUCUCUGGACUGU